AACGUAGGGCGCAAGCGUUGUCCGGAAUUAUUGGGCGUAAAGAGCUCGUAGGCGGUUUGUCGCGUCUGCUGUGAAAACCCGGGGCUCAACCCCGGGCCUGCAGUCGAUACGGGCAGGCUAGAGUCCGGCAGGGGAGACUGGAAUUCCUGGUGUAGCGGUGAAAUGCGCAGAUAUCAGGAGGAACACCGGUGGCGAAGGCGGGUCUCUGGGCCGGAACUGACGCUGAGGAGCGAAAGCGUGGGGAGCGAACAGG
rnacentral:rRNA from 1 species